UACGUAGGGUGCAAGCGUUUGUCCGGAAUUAUUGGGCGUAAAGAGCUCGUAGGCGGUCUGUCGCGUCUGCUGUGAAAACUCAGGGCUUAACCCUGAGCUUGCAGUGGGUACGGGCAGACUAGAGGUGCGGUAGGGGAGACUGGAAUUCCUGGUGUAGCGGUGAAAUGCGCAGAUAUCAGGAGGAACGACCGGUGGCGGAAGGCGGGUCUCUGGGCCGU
rnacentral:rRNA from 1 species